CCCAACUAUCCCUAUUAAUCAUUACGGUGGUCCUAAAACCAACAAAAUAGAACCAACGUCCUAUUCUAUUAUUCCAUGCUAAUCUAUUCAAGCAAAUGCCCGCUUUAAACACUCUAAUUUUUUCAAGGUAAUGGUCCUGGUUCCCCAACACACCCAAUAAAGGGCAUCCUGGCUCACCAGAAGGAUAGACCCGACGACAGAACAGUACUCGCCAAAGACGGACCAUCCGGCCAGGCCUAAAAUUCAACUACGAGCUUUUUAACUGCAACAACUUUAAUAUACGCUAUUGGAGCUGGAAUUACCGCGGCUGCUGGCACCAGACUUGCCCUCCAA
rnacentral:misc_RNA from 1 species